AUUGAACGCUGGCGGCAGGCUUAACACAUGCAAGUCGAACGAGUGGCGGACGGGUGAGUAAUGUCUGGGAAACUGGCUGAUGGAGGGGGAUAACUACUGGAAACGGUAGCUAAUACCGCAUACCAUCAGAUGGGCCCAGGUGGGAUUAGCUUGUUGGUGGGGUAAAGGCUCACCAAGGCGACGAUCCCUAGCUGGUCUGAGAGGAUGACCAGCCACACUGGGACUGAGACACGGCCCAGACUCCUACGGGAGGCAGCAGUGGGGAAUAUUGCGCAAUGGGGGCAAGCCUGAUGCAGCCAUGCCGCGUGAAUGAAGAAGGCCUUCGGGUUGUAAAGUUCUUUCGGUGGCGAGGCGUUAACCACAGAAGAAGCACCGGCUAACUCCGUGCCAGCAGCCGCGGUAAUAC
rnacentral:rRNA from 1 species